GGUUAUGGCUCAGUGGUAGAGCACUCGCCUUGCAUGCGCGAGGCCCUGGGUUUGAUCCUCAGCACCA
rnacentral:tRNA from 1 species